rnacentral:misc_RNA from 1 species
AGUAACUGUAUCUACUUCUCCAAUGAUGAUAUUGCUCCUUGGUGGAAUGAAUGGGAUUCUAAUCAUCUGAAAGGAUUGUCUUCGCUUUUUGGACUUGACAACUCCUCGAGAAAAGAUUGGGGAACCUUUCACAUCGACAGAGACAACAAUGGAAAGUUUUGUUUCCGUGGUAACCGUGACAAUUGGGCGCCCAUCUGGUUCACUG